AAAAUGCCCUCAACUACCGGCGAGUGAAGCGGCAAGAAGCUCAAGAUUUGAAAUCGUGCUUUGCGGCACGAGUUGUAGAUUGCAGGUUGGAGUCUGUGUGGAAGGCGGUGUCCAAGUCCCUUGGAACAGGGCGCCCAGGAGGGUGAGAGCCCCGUGGGAUGCCGGCGGAAGCAGUGAGGCCCUUCUGACGAGUCGAGUUGUUUGGGAAUGCACUCCAAGCGGGUGGUAAAUUCCAUCUAAGGCUAAAUACUGGCGAGAGACC
rnacentral:rRNA from 1 species